ACAUGUUUACAGCAUAGCGUCAAUGCACCAGAUCCCAUUAAAAAUCUGCAGUUAAGCGUGCUUAGGCUAGAGUAGUAUUGGGAUGGGUGACCCCUCGGGAAGUCCUUGUGUUUUACAUGGC
rfam:Picea glauca, whole genome shotgun sequence.